rnacentral:tRNA from 1 species
GGCACAGUGGCCUAGUGGUUAGCGCAUUGGACUCUGGAUCGAGUGGUCUGGGUUUGAGCCCUGACCUGGGUCA